rnacentral:rRNA from 1 species
GACGAACGCUGGCGGCGUGCUUAACACAUGCAAGUCGAACGGGCCCGCCCCUGUUUUUGGGGGUGGGUUGAGUGGCGAACGGGUGAGUAUCACGUGAGUAACCUGCCCCCUGCUCCUGGAUAACUGCUUGAAAGGGCGGCUAAUACGGGGUGUGCCGGCUGGUCCGCAUGGGCCUGGUCGGGAUAGUUUCAUCUUCGGGUGUUUCGGUGGGGGAUGGGCUCGCGGCCUAUCAGCUUGUUGGUGGGGUGAUGGCCCACCAAGGCGGUGACGGGUAGCCGGCCCGAGAGGGUGGGCGGCCACACUGGGACUGAGACACGGCCCAGACUCCUGCGGGAGGCAGCAGUGGGGGGUAUUGCACAAUGGGCGGAAGCCUGAUGCAGCGACGUCGCGUGAGGGAUGGAGGCCUUCGGGUUGUGAACCUCUUUCUCCGGUGGUGAAGGCCCUGUCCGUUGCGGCGGGGUUGACGGUAGCCGGGUAUGAAGCGCCGGCUAACUACGUG